UACGUAGGGGGCGAGCGUUACCCGGAUUUACUGGGCGUAAAGCGCGUGUAGGCGGCUGGCCAAGCGUGAUGUGAAAUCUUCGGGCUUAACCCGAAAACUGCAUUGCGAACUGGCCUGGCUCGAGUGUAGGAGAGGGCUGCAGAAUUCCUGGUGUAGCGGUGAAAUGCGUAGAUAUCAGGAGGAAUACCAGUGGCGAAGGCGGCAGCCUGGCCUAUAACUGACGCUGAAACGCGAAAGCGUGGGGAGCGAACCG
rnacentral:rRNA from 1 species